GGAAGGAGGGAAGGAGGGAAGGAGGGAAGGAGGGAAGGAGGGAAGGAGGGAAGGAGGGAAGGAGGGAAGGAGGGAAGGAGGGAAGGAGGGAAGGAGGGAAGGAGGGAAGGAGGGAAGGAGGGAAGGAGGGAAGGAGGGAAGGAGGGAAGGAGGGAAGGAGGGAAGGAGGGAAGACAAGGAAAUAAAUGCUAUUUUAGCAGAGAGAAACACAAGCCACAGAAAAGAAUAAAAGGUGAAACUAAAGGAAAGGUAGAAACAAAAUUCCUAUUUAUCCCAUUCUCUAACAUUGGUCCUAAAGACACUUCAUCAAAUACCAUCAGUACACAGGAUCAGCAGCUCUGAUAACUUCCAUCACGUAAAUUUUUUUCCAAUAGAAUUGCAAAUAAAGCAGGAGGCAGAAUCCUUCAGCUGACAGGAAGCACAGAGGGUCAGAGUUAGGCACUUGGAGUGCCACACUCACAGAUUAUCAGAAUUGUUCCUAAUGCUGCAGGAAUGGCCUUUUCAUGCCCCUCCUUUAUUCCUGAGUUGGGCUAUACUGAGAUAAUCCCCAUUCAGCUAAAACACCCCAAACAUGCCUUAACUCCCAAAUUUUACAAACUGCUCCACUGUGCCUGUGUGGAUCCCACCAGGCCUCCCCUGGAUGGGAGGCACAAAUUAAUCAGGACUGAGAGACUGCUCCACUCCAGCUGCCACAGAGCACUGCUCUGAUUUAUGCAAAGCACUCUGAUAGUAUCCCACUGAGUUGUGAUCAAAAUCUGUCACCUGAUUUACAUCUCCCAGCACAACACAGCAUUUGUUCUCCAUUUUUUUGGGCUCUAUUAUGUGGGCAGGUAAAAUAAUUCUAAUGAUACAGGCUUCCUACUUAUUUUAAAGAGUCUGCAGAGGAGGGGAAAAGCUGUGUUUUAAGGGGUUUAUUUGUGUUGCCUAUCAAAAGUGAGAGUGAAAAGAAGUUUAAUAGAUUUGUUCCACCUUUAGAUGGGCUGCAUCACUUCAUAGUUUAAAAAGCAGUCAGAAAUACAUUAGCAUUUCAGACUAAAUAUAGCUGUCAAAAAUGUAAAUUUCUUUUUUAGAAAAACUCUAUGUGCUAAAAAAGAACUCAGCUUUUAUGCAUAAUAAAAAGGCAAAUAUGUCUGCUUAGUCAAUAUGCUGCUAAUUUAAUUACAAAACCCAUGGAGAGUCUUCAAAAAAAUUCUAAGUAUAUAAUGAAUACUUGGUUUGCUCAGCCUGACUACAAGCAAAUAUGUUUUAACAAAGAAAUAAACUGGCAAUUGUUGCUGUGUUCUCAUUAUAUGUAUCCUAAUCCCUUUUUUUUUUGUUUUGUUUAAAAUUUAAUGGGAAAAUAAUUUCUAUUAAAUUCCUUCAAUUAUUCCAGUCCUUACUGACCUUCUUUCCAGAAGUACUAAUAAACCAACAUGUACUGGUUGUUACUAACCUGACCCUUUUAAAUGGCUUUUCAGCCAUAUUUUUUCCUAUUUUUUCCUCUCAGUAUAAACAUGUAACACAGAACUUCUCAAAUUUAAGAAAGUUUGAGACCUGACCUUGGAAAAGGUGCUGAUUUUAGGAGAAAAAAAUAAUCAAAGUUUAGAAAUGGUUCCACAUCACAUAUAAUCACUAUUACUCAUAAAACUGAGAUAUUCACCAUCACCAGUCUGUAAAAGAACACACAGUUCACAGACAUUCUCAGGAAAGCUUUGCCAGAAUGAUGAGUUCCAGGUUUUCUGGCAUUUCCCAAGCUCCCAAAAGUAUCAAGAGCCAAGAGGUUUAGAAAUCCAGCAAUCCCAAACACCACACUAUGGAUUAGGGACAGGACAAACAACAUCCAGGCUGGAAAAGUGACCUAUUUAUCAGAGGCCAUCCCUGCAGCCUGCCCCAGUCAAUCCAGGCUGCUCUCUCCCCUCAACACUUCUCCUUGUGCCAGGAAGGAAUGGGAUGCUGUGCAGCAAGUGAUUUGGCUCUAUUUUUAAUUAUUAUUAUGAUUAUCAAAGCUGUGACAUGGUUAGGAGUGUCAGCUCAGAGAAGGGAGCUGGGGGUGGCAUUGAAGCGAGUUAAAGCAGUGACAAAGCUGCACUUUUGAGCAGCAGGAAGUCAGCCAGGGAUACCCCAAGCUCUCCCUUCUCCCUUGGAGGGAGAGCACUUGAAAUCAAAUCUGCCAAGCCAGCAUUAAACCAUCCAUCACCAACUUCCCAAAAUGUUAGGGAUUACUGCUCAUUAAAGAGCCUCCUCACUGGAAUGCACAUGAGCAUCUUCUGCUUUCCAGGAAAACCCACAUUUUGUGAGCAGGAUGAUUUUAGUUUCCUCAGUUCACUUUUCCAAAGCACUGUGUUAAGGACUGGGCUUAAGUUACCUCCACAAGAACUCUGACACUCACCACUGGCUUUCACUCUCCUGUUUCCCCCAUAUGCUCCAACUGUUUAUUAUCUUCUAUCAGAGCUCAGAAUUUGUUUACUUGAUCUUGUAUUUAGAUCAAGUCAGACACAAAUGCAGCAUAUUGAAAAGAAACUCUUACAGUUUUUAGAAUCCAUUCUUCAAAAACCCCCCUAUGUCAAGUCCUAACACACUAAAAAUUAUAUUAUUUACAGACAGCCCAUGAAGAAAGACAAAAGUAAAAGCUACUCUGAAAGACACUGUAUUACAAUCUCAGUUUUCAUCAGUUAAGAGUUGUUAGACUGGCACUGAGCUCUGGUUUCAUUUUUAUUUUAACCCCACAUUCCUCUUUAGCCAUUUUAGAUGAAAAGCCACCCAGGCUGAUUUAGUUAACAAAACCUUGGAUAACACGAUUGGUUUCUCCAGAAAGAAAAUAUAUUUAAAAACAAACAAAUUAUAAACCUCACAGGGUGGCAGAUGAUUUGUGCUGAGAUACAAAGUGAUUACAACUUUGUGAGAACAACUACACGACUUGUAACACCUCCAGAGCUCUGAAGUGAUGAGGAGUAUUAAAUCCUGACAACAAAAACAGAACAAAAAGAGUCACUCCCAUAUUUCAGGUAAUUUACCACCAUAAUAGCAUUGAGCAAUGCUGUUCAAAUAGAAAUAAAUGCUGAUGUUUAGAAAUGCGACAAUCUACAGACGUCUGAAGAGCUCAGACACUCUCAGCUUCCCUCAUGCAGGUUGUGACAUAUCGCAUUAAAUAUUUGAGGCCACCAAAGGUGGGGGGGGGACGACAAACACUCGGGGACGUUUGUGACACACAAAAACAAAUCACCAGCGUCCAGGGUCAGCGCCGGGGAGUUCAGCCAAGUUCAGAAAUCAGACACCGCGCUGCCGCGGUUCCUGUGACACCGCACAGCUCAGCCCGAGCACACAUUGCCACCUGUCCUCGUCCGCAGAGGUCCCGGCUCUGGAACUCCGUGGAACAGCUCCCCGAUGGAGCCAGCGAGCGCCGGCUGGCUCCGGGAGCAGCGAAGGGCACCGAGAGCCCCGAGGGGAGCCGCAGGCACAUGGGCUGUACGAGCUAGACUCAAAAGGCUGUUAAUGCUAAACCUGAGAUUUGCAUCUUUACACUCCUGACACAGCCACGACAGGGACAAAGGUUUGUAGUCAAGCUUGGACUCCAGCUUCUUGGAAUCAGCCACUUUCCUGACAGCUUUCAUGAAAUCUUCCUGAACUACGAAGUCAUGAUCAGCACGG